AUACGGAGGAUCCAAGCGUUAUCCGGAAUCAUUGGGUUUAAAGGGUCCGUAGGUGGAUAAUUAAGUCAGAGGUGAAAUCCUGCAGCUCAGCUGUAGAAUUGCCUUUGAUACUGGUUAUCUUGAGUUAUUACGAAGUAGUUAGAAUAUGUAGUGUAGCGGUGAAAUGCAUAGAUAUUACAUAGAAUACCGAUUGCGAAGGCAGAUUACUAAUAAUAUACUGACACUGAGGGACAAAAGCGUGGGGAGCGAACAGGAUGAGAAACCCUAGUAGUCC
rnacentral:rRNA from 1 species